rnacentral:rRNA from 1 species
UUGAACGCUGGCGGCAUGCCUUACACAUGCAAGUCGAACGGUAACAGGUCUUCGGAUGCUGACGAGUGGCGAACGGGUGAGUAAUACAUCGGAACGUGCCCGACCGUGGGGGAUAACGCAGCGAAAGCUGUGCUAAUACCGCAUACGAUCUACGGAUGAAAGCGGGGGACUCGCAAGAGCCUCGCGCGGACGGAGCGGCCGAUGGCAGAUUAGGUAGUUGGUGGGGUAAAGGCUCACCAAGCCGACGAUCUGUAGCUGGUCUGAGAGGACGACCAGCCACACUGGGACUGAGACACGGCCCAGACUCCUACGGGAGGCAGCAGUGGGGAAUUUUGGACAAUGGGCGCAAGCCUGAUCCAGCAAUGCCGCGUGCAGGAAGAAGGCCUUCGGGUUGUAAACUGCUUUUGUACGGAGCGAAAAGGCUCUCUCUAAUACAGGGGGCUCAUGACGGUACCGUAAGAAUAAGCACCGGCUAACUACGU